GACGAACGCUGGCGGCGUGCUUAACACAUGCAAGUCGAACGGAAAGGCCCUGCUUUUGUGGGGUGCUCGAGUGGCGAACGGGUGAGUAACACGUGAGUAAACUGCCCUUGACUUUGGGAUAACUUCAGGAAACUGGGGCUAAUACCGGAUAGGAGCUACUGCUGCAUGGUGGGGGUUGGAAAGUUUCGGCGGUAGGGGAUGGACUCGCGGCUUAUCAGCUUGAUGGUGGGGUAGUGGCUUACCAAGGCUUUGAAGGGUAGCCGGCCUGAGAGGUUGACCGGCCACAUUGGGACUGAGAUACGGCCCAGACGCCUACGGGAGGCAGCAGUGGGGAAUAUUGCGCAAUGGCCGGAAGCCUGAUGCAGCAACGCCGCGUGCGGAAUGACGGCCUUCGAGUUGUAAACCGCUGUCGCCUUUGACGAAGCGUGAGUGACGGUAAUGGGUAAAGAAGCACCGGCUAACUACGUG
rnacentral:rRNA from 1 species